GAUGAACGCUGGCGGCGUGCCUAAUACAUGCAAGUCGAGCGAACGGACGAGAAGCUUGCUUCUCUGAUGUUAGCGGCGGACGGGUGAGUAACACGUGGAUAACCUACCUAUAAGACUGGGAUAACUUCGGGAAACCGGAGCUAAUACCGGAUAAUAUUUUGAACCGCAUGGUUCAAAAGUGAAAGACGGUCUUGCUGUCACUUAUAGAUGGAUCCGCGCUGCAUUAGCUAGUUGGUAAGGUAACGGCUUACCAAGGCAACGAUGCAUAGCCGACCUGAGAGGGUGAUCGGCCACACUGGAGCGGAGACACGGUCCAGACUCCUACGGGAGGCAGCAGUAGGGAAUCUUCCGCAAUGGGCGAAAGCCUGACGGAGCAACGCCGCGUGAGUGAUGAAGGUCUUCGGAUCGUAAAACUCUGUUAUUAGGGAAGAACAUAUGUGUAAGUAACUGUGCACAUCUUGACGGUACCUAAUCAGAAAGCCACGGCUAACUACGU
rnacentral:rRNA from 1 species